GCAUGCAUACUGCUUUCUUUUAAAAAUAGUAGCUAGUAUGAGGUUUGAAACGGAACCCUGUUUUGUUGAUUCAGACGUCGAAGUGUUUUGAUUCAUAUCUGGCUGUAAAGUGAAGCAGUUUUUGCCAUCUGCUCCACACACACCAGAAGAUGCGAUCGAUAGAUCUGAUGGAUGAGGAUGCUGGCCUUUGACAGCUGCAUGGAGAAUAAACUCCAGGGGAUUAGUGCUUCACCUUCCCCUGCGGAGAGCAGCAUGAGUGGCCUGAUGAGAUUCACAUGGCUUUCUGUCUCUGGAGAUCUCACAACCCUUCCAUCAUUUGAAGCAACACCUGCCCUCAGCCGGACGUCUGGACCCUGUUACUGACCCUCACUGUUAAAGCUGAUGUGUUGAGGACACGCUGACCUCCAGCUAUUUUCCAGCUCACAGGAGCAUAACGGUGGUCAGGAGGGAGUGAAAUCACAGGCCGUGUGAUGGGAUCCGGUUUAAGAGCUUUACAAGACACUGCGGCUGACGUGCCGGCCAGAUGUUCCCACGCACACUGGGACAAAACAAGGAUAUCUCUCCAUGCACACACACGCUCUCGGGGACGAUAAGUGGGGCUGGCAGGCCUGGUCAACACCAGAGGGCUUGAGUUGACUCUUGGCUCUCAUAAAUCGUGAGUCGUUGAAGCGUUGCAGCAUUAAUCUUUUUUGCAUGAUGUGAUAAUGAGUCUAUCGCUCACGGGAAGAUGCUUUUAAACGCAGUGGGUUGCCAUAAUGAACGCACACAAUAUACACAAUCCACAGCAACAUUUAGGUUGUACUGUGUCUACAAAUCUGCACAAAAUGAAAUGUUCAAUUUACACUGCAGUCGCUAAUCUUUCAAAUAAUUACCUUUAUCAUAUUUAUAGAAGGAAUAGCCUUAAUCAACUUUUGCACAAGACUAAUAUGAAAUGAUUUCUGGGUGAACCUCACAAAAACAUGCCUAGGUUAUAUUCCACCCCUAAAAUCAAAAGACAAACAAGUUUUGCAUAUAUUGUUAGUAAUUUUGCAUAAAAUGUAAUUAAAAAAAAAUUUUUUUUUAGAACUAUUAAGAUUUUUAAUGUUUAGGUUCUAUUCUGUCUACAAAUGAGUACAAAAUUAACUAUUUAAUUAUCUUCCAGAUGAUCACUUUUAUUAUAUUUACUUUAUAAAAUAAAUUAAAGCAUAAAGCGGAUAUUUCA
ensembl:lncRNA